rnacentral:rRNA from 1 species
UUGACAGAUCCCUUCGGGGUGAAGAUAAGAUGGAUUAGCGGCGGACGGGUGAGUAACACGUGAGUAACCUGCCUUAGACAUUGGGAUAGCCUCGGGAAACCGGGAUUAAUACCAAAUGAAAUCAUAGGUGCCCAUGCACUAAUGAUCAAAAACUCCGGUGGUCUAAGAUGGACUCGCGUCCCAUUAGCUAGUUGGUGAGGUAACGGCCCACCAAGGCGACGAUGGGUAGCCGGCCUGAGAGGGUGACCGGCCACAUUGGGACUGAGACACGGCCCAAACUCC